UACGCGCAUGGACGACGUUGACGUUA
rnacentral:sRNA from 1 species